rnacentral:lncRNA from 1 species
UUGAAUUGGAACUGAUUGAUUGUUGGAAUUGUUGGAAAAAAAUGGAAUUACUGUGGAAACUUGAUGUUGAUGUUGAUGGGUUUAGAACUCUUUCUGACAUGAGGCCUCCUCUGCCUCCCCACUGACACUGAAUUAGUUUCUCCUUCUUUCCUCUUGGAGAGACUCCCACCAUAUUUCAUGAUGGAUGAUGCUUCUUCUUUAGACACACAUCCUUCACAGACUCCUUCUUCUAGCCUCAUCCCCGUGUUUACCAUUUCGGUAAAGUCAUUGGGAGCACUCGCAGUCAUACGUUCGUAAUAAAAUGAACUCAGCGUCUUCAAGAGGUGGAAUUUUAGGCAGCCA